CAAAAAUGCUGUCUGGUUUUAUUGCGCAGGAAGGUUGUUAACUCUGGCAGCCUCACCAGAGUCGUCUAGGUUCUCAUUGUCCCUUCAGCCUCCCCAGCCAAACCCUAAUGGGGUACUGUGCCUAUCAGAUUUGAGGGAGGGGCCGAGAGAAUUGCAAUCAAGGAAAUCAGCAAGUGCUGAGCUAAAAGACAGAGGCCUCCGCUCUUCUGACUUCGUUUUCAAUUCACUUCAUUUUAGGUUUUUUGGGGUUUUUUUUGGUUUGGUUUUUGGCAGCGGGAAAGAAAAGGAAUGAUCUCUGCUUUUCCUCUUGUGAAGCCUGGAGCACAAGAACUACGUUGGUCCCUUAGGAGCACUACAGGCCCACCCAUGGCCAUAGCAUCCAUACUGUGCACACCGUGGAAAGAGUACUCUCUUUGUGCCUUGAAGCUUGGAAUCACUGGAUUAUUGAACUAUUCUACCAUUUCCCCAAAGACGGCUGAAGCAGGAAGCGUUCCUGUAGUGGAAAGGACACAAAUUGUGAGCACAAAGAGCCUCCAUUUGAAUGCUGGUUCUUCCACUUACUAACUGUGUGACCUUGGGUAAGUUAUUUAAGCCUUCUGUGCCUCAGUUUCCUAAUAUAUAAAAUAGAGAUUAUAAGAUCUAGAUCAUAAAACUAUCAGGCUAAUUAAAUUAAACUCCUGAUAGACACUCAAUAUAAGUAAACUUCUAUUAACAGAAAAUGUGCUUUUUAGAGUCUCUGGUCCCUCCCUCCCUGUUACAAAGCCUUGGAGCUCCAUAGGAGCGUCUGGGGCCCAUUCUACUCUCUGUUACUGCGAUGCUGCCUUCUGUUCACCAAACGAGUACCUCUAGAUGCUCCCAUUGUGAAUAUCAUCGUCUGGAUAAAACUUUCAGGGAAGGUGAUUUCAGAAAACAAUCUGAGGGGCUCCUUCUCUCCUUUUCCUUCCCCACCCUACCCUCCAUGCCAGUCACAGAAUGUGGUAAGAUGCUGAGUUGGGGAAUUAGUGUCUGGAGAAAGGAUGGGGGAUGCAGUGAUGGGCAAAGGCAGUCAAAGGCCUUGACCUUGAAAAGACAUCAUAGGUCAUCCUAGGGAGCCCCCUCAUUUCACUCUGAGGUUGAAGAGCUGGAUGGUGCAGAGGGGAGCUCUGAGACCCGUGCUCUUCCCUGAAGGUAGACAGGAAAGGGGCACUUUCCACAUCCAAAUCUCAAGGGUAAACCCUGCACCCUACUUUCCAGUGCACGUGUGGACUAUCCUCUCUGUGUGUCUCACCUGAGGAUGAGUAUUGUCCUCUCUCCAUCCCCUUGUCAAAUUCUUUUCUGCAUAUUGGAUACUAUGUCUCUGCCACCACGUAAUGCCUGUUAUUAUCAUUAGGCCCAGUUAUCACUGAUACGUGCACUGGUGGUUUUUAAAAGUCUUAAUGCUACAGUAACUGAUGUUAUAUCUUGGCACUAUUCUUCUGCCUGAUCUCAUCCAGAACUUCUCAGACACCUAGGACAAGAUGCGUGAGUAGUAUAAAUUGCGUUCAGUGCUGAACGUGUGUACUAAGUGUAUAAUGGCAGGUCCAUGCAGAGGGAGAUGGGGAAGCGUAUGUGUGGAGGAGCUUAGAGAGAUAGAAUAAACUACUUAGAACCAGAAAUGGACGGCUUCGA
rnacentral:lncRNA from 1 species